GAUGAACGCUGGCGGCGUGCCUAAUACAUGCAAGUCGAGCGAACAGACGAGGAGCUUGCUCCUCUGACGUUAGCGGCGGACGGGUGAGUAACACGUGGAUAACCUACCUAUAAGACUGGGAUAACUUCGGGAAACCGGAGCUAAUACCGGAUAAUAUAUUGAACCGCAUGGUUCAAUAGUGAAAGACGGUUUUGCUGUCACUUAUAGAUGGAUCCGCGCCGCAUUAGCUAGUUGGUAAGGUAACGGCUUACCAAGGCAACGAUGCGUAGCCGACCUGGGGGGGGGAACGGCCAAACGGGAACUGAGCACCGGCCCAGCGCCCGAGGGGGGGCAGGGGUGGGGAUUCUCCCGCAAUGGGGGAAAGCCUGACGGACCAACCCGGGGGGGGUAAUGAAGGGCUUCGGUUCGUAAAACUUUUUUAUUAGGGAAAAAAAAAUUGUAAAGUAACUAUGCCGUUUUUGAGGGUACCGAAGCAGAAAGCCACGGCUAAAUACGG
rnacentral:rRNA from 1 species